AGCGAACGCUGGCGGUAGGCCUAACACAUGCAAGUCGAACGGCAGCACAGUAAGAGCUUGCUCUUACGGGUGGCGAGUGGCGGACGGGUGAGGAAUACAUCGGAAUCUACUUUUUCGUGGGGGAUAACGUAGGGAAACUUACGCUAAUACCGCAUACGACCUACGGGUGAAAGCAGGGGAUCUUCGGACCUUGCGCGAUUGAAUGAGCCGAUGUCGGAUUAGCUAGUUGGCGGGGUAAAGGCCCACCAAGGCGACGAUCCGUAGCUGGUCUGAGAGGAUGAUCAGCCACAAUGGACAUGGGAACCGGGCCAGCCCCCAAGGGGGGGCAGCAGGGGGGAAAUUUGGACAAGGGGCGAAAGCCUGACCCAGCCAUACCCGGGGGGGGAAGAAGGCCUUCGGGUUGUAAACCCUUUUUGUUGGGAAAAAAAAGCAGCAGGUUAAACCCCCGCUGUUCUGCCGGUCCCAAAAAAAUAAGCACCGGCUAACUUCGG
rnacentral:rRNA from 1 species